GGGCUCAUAGCUCAGUUGGGAGAGCGUCGCCCUUGCACGGCGAAUGUCGCAGGUUCGAUUCCUGUUGGGUCCA
rnacentral:tRNA from 1 species